rnacentral:rRNA from 1 species
CAGCCGCCACGGUAAUACGGAGGGAGCUAGCGUUGUUCGGAAUUACUGGGCGUAAAGCGCACGUAGGCGGUUAUUCAAGUCAGAGGUGAAAGCCCGGGGCUCAACCCCGGAACUGCCUUUGAAACUAGAUGACUGGAAUCUUGGAGAGGUCAGUGGAAUUCCGAGUGUAGAGGUGAAAUUCGUAGAUAUUCGGAAGAACACCAGUGGCGAAGGCGACUGACUGGACAAGUAUUGACGCUGAGGUGCGAAAGCGUGGGGAGCAAACAGGAUUAGAUACCCCAGUAGUCCCUGUCUCUUAUAC